ensembl:lncRNA
CAAAGUUGUUAACCCCCAACAGUAGCACUUUGGUGUCCACCUCUCUAGUUCCAGCCUGCUUUGCAUCGACAGGAAAACACCAGACUUUCUCCCGAUGAACGCUGCUUUUCCGACGUGGCGGGUGUAACGCGUUCCUGCCGGGAUACCGGAGAACCGUCCGUUGUUAUCACAACAGCCUCCGGGGGAAGUAGCCGCGGCUAACGUUCACGUUGCUUCUCUCUCUCUCUCUCGCUAGCUGCGUCGCGUUGCGUUUUCUUCUUCUUUAACUUGCCACAUUGUUGCCCGUCAGUCUUUUUUUUUUUUUUUUUAAUCUCCAUCGUGCGGCGAAACAUCGAGUCGUCUUCUGGAGAGCAGUGAGGAAAUGGUGGAGGUUCAAGCUACAAACGAAAGAAUAAAUCCUCUCAAUGGGACUCUUAGCGAUGCCCGUGAAUCCAGCCAGCUGCGUCGUUGGAGGGUCAGACCACAAUUAUUCUCAGGUGGUGGACUAGUGGUGCUACUUUGCUCCACCCAGGCCGCUCUCCCUAAACCGCCUUAAUCAACAAAUGAACAUCUUCCAUUGAGUUGCUGGUCUUAAUCGGACCAGCUCGGUUUAUCUUUCCCUGUCGUCACAAUGCAGUCGCUGGAUUUUGCGGUGAAAGGUGAACCCCCGCUCCCCUGGGUGGACCCCGGCUGAGCCCCCACGUCGUCAACAGGUAAAGUCUUUUGAGGGUUGGAAUGAAUUGUCCCUGUGCAAGUCUUUUUAGCUGACUUGUCAGCUCUCAGUUCCCCAAAUCCAGCGGGACGGCUGCUGGAGCCGCCGACACUGAAAUAAUACACGUGUUUGUGGAACCGAUCAGCGUUUGGGUUCCAGAUAUUGAUCUUCAUGGCAUUUCUUUUUUGGCAUUGAGUGUGUGAAAUGCUUUCAGACAGACAUGUGGGUGUCCUGGAAGUCAGAAGUCAGAUCCUUUGUGGGACCAGGAGAGGGAGACAUUGUUCAGGUGUUGAGCAUUUUGUCAUGGAGCUUCACCUGGAAUAAACUUCUUCUCUUUUUUUCUUUCUUUGGAUGGAUGAGGUUCAGUGGAUCAGUUACUUCUGUGGUAUUUUAAGGCGUUGCCCUGUACAUUGCGCUCUUGAUAAGGGUUUGGUUGUUCAAGUUUUUCAACAGACUAUUAUAAAAAACUCUUUAAGAGUAAUGUUGUAUUGUAUAAGUUAUAUUUACUGCAAUGUGGGAGUGUUUUGAAUAAUAAAAUAAUAAUCCGGGAUUUAAUUAGAAAAUUAUUUGUUUUAACGUUGUCCCCGGGCAACACCAAUUUUAAUCUUUUAAUAUUAAAAAAAUGUAUAAAACUUAUUUUCUGUUUUUAAAAACAGUCCAAGAUGUUAUGGAGAAUCAACCAUAUGGACUCAAGUCAAAUGUGAAAUUAAAAAAAAAAAGUUUUU